AACGAACGCUGGCGGCAGGCCUAACACAUGCAAGUCGAACGGACCCUUCGGGGUUAGUGGCGGACGGGUGAGUAACGCGUGGGAACGUGCCCCUUUCUUCGGAAUAGCCUCGGGAAACUGGGAGUAAUACCGGAUAAGCCCUACGGGGGAAAGAUUUAUCGGGAAGGGAUCGGCCCGCGUUGGAUUAGGUAGUUGGUGGGGUAAUGGCCUACCAAGCCGACGAUCCAUAGCUGGUUUGAGAGGAUGAUCAGCCACACUGGGACUGAGACACGGCCCAGACUCCUACGGGAGGCAGCAGUGGGGAAUCUUAGACAAUGGGGGAAACCCUGAUCUAGCCAUGCCGCGUGAUCGAUGAAGGCCUUAGGGUUGUAAAGAUCUUUCAGUGGGGAAGAUAAUGACGGUACCCACAGAAGAAGCCCCGGCUAACUCCGUGCCAGCCGCCGCCGUAAAAC
rnacentral:rRNA from 1 species